rnacentral:rRNA from 1 species
UCAGAACGAACGCUGGCGGCGCGUCUUAAGCAUGCAAGUCGAACGGCAAGAGGUAGCAAUACCUCCUAGAGUGGCGGACUGGUGAGUAACACGUGGGUGACAUACCCUUCAGAUGGGGAUAGCUAUUAGAAAUAGUAGAUAAUACCGAAUACGAGCACAGGGGUUAGAGAUCUGUGAGGAAAGGAGCUAAGGCUCCGCUGAAGGAAUGGCCUGCGGCCCAUUAGCUAGUUGGUGAGGUAAGAGCCCACCAAGGCGAUGAUGGGUAUCCGGCCUUAGAGGGUGAACGGACACAUUGGGACUGAGAUACGGCCCAGACUCCUACGGGAGGCAGCAGCUAAGAAUAUUCCGCAAUGGACGAAAGUCUGACGGAGCGACGCCGCGUGGAUGAAGAAGGCCGGAAGGUUGUAAAAUCCUUUUGAAACUGAAGAAUAAGCGUUGUAGGGAAUGACAGCGUGGUGACAGUAGGUUUUGAAUAAGCAACGGCUAAUUACGUGCCAGCCGCCGC